rnacentral:rRNA from 1 species
GCCGGAAUUGCUAGUAAUGGCAGGUCAGCAUACUGCCGUGAAUACGUUCCCGGGCCUUGUACACACCGCCCGUCACACCAUGAGAGUUGGGAAUACCCGAAGCCUGUGAGCUAACGUUAAGAGGCAGCAGUCGAAGGUAGAAUCAAUGAUUGGGGUGAAGUCGUAACAAGGUAUC